GACAGAGGGUGCAAACGUUGUUCGGAAUUACUGGGCGUAAAGCGUGUGUAGGCGGCUUUGCAAGUCGGAUGUGAAAGCCCAGGGCUCAACCCUGGAAGUGCACUCGAUACUGCAGAGCUCGAGUCUCGGAGAGGUUGGUGGAAUUCUCGGUGUAGAGGUGAAAUUCGUAGAUAUCGAGAGGAACACCGGUGGCGAAGGCGGCCAACUGGACGAAGACUGACGCUGAGACACGAAAGCGUGGGGAGCAAACAGG
rnacentral:rRNA from 1 species